rnacentral:rRNA from 1 species
AACGAACGCUGGCGGCAUGCCUAACACAUGCAAGUCGAACGGGAUCCUAGCUUGCUAGGUGAGAGUGGCGGACGGGUGAGUAACACGUGGGAAUCUGCCUUUUUGGUUCGGGAUAACCGCGGGAAACUGCGGCUAAUACCGAAUGCCCUCGAGAGAGGAAAGAUUUAUCGCCAGAAGAGGAGCCCGCGUCCGAUUAGGUAGUUGGUGGGGUAAAGGCCUACCAAGCCGACGAUCGGUAGCUGGUCUGAGAGGAUGAUCAGCCACACUGGGACUGAGAUACGGCCCAGACUCCUACGGGAGCAGCAG